UUUUGGAAAGGGAAUAGAAAAGAGAAAAGUAAAAUCAAAUUUUGAAAACAAAUCACCCCAGUUGUCUCGUGGUCUAGUGCGUGCAGCGGUGCAAGUGUAUCUCUCCAAAAAGCAUAUAUGACAUUUGAAAAUUGUGUUUUCGAGUUUCGACUAUUCGUAAAUUAUUACCUUUUGAAUUGUGCCAGUGUUUUUAAAUUGUGGUAGUAAAAUCAGUGAAUACAUUUUUACACUGCUCACUUGUAUGUUGGGUGGAGCGUGUAAACAGUCGGGUGAACUGAGUUCAUUAUACCAUGGACGGAGGAUGUACAACUGCAAAUCAAGCUUGAACUUCGCGGACAUCUGUGCUGGGAUCAAUUUUCCUUUUCGGAAUCUCGACUUCCGAAAAUUUUUAUUGAAUUUAAUAAUACCAAGAAACCAAAAGAGAAGUGAAUUGCAGCCUAUUCGGCAUCAUGCAGUUUUAUAAGUAAAUUCCAAUGCUCAUAAUUUGUAUAUCAUGAUGUAAAAAAGGAACUAUAGGCAUACCAUAAAAAAUAUAAUUUAAUAAAUUCAAA